AUCCGAUACGGACGGAAACUGGAAAUUGGAAGACGUUCGUCUGAUUCGUGUGACUUUGGAAAUUUUCGAAACGGUCGGGUCGGGACACAGGGUUGGAAUGCGGAAGGAAGGGCGUGGUUAGAAUUAUUUGAUGCGUCGCGUCGUUAGCGCGGCCGAUGGCACACCCUCGGCGUCUACCUACGCGUGCACCGUGCUACCCACCGUUUCGUAGCGUUUCGCAGUCAUUUUCUCGUGUGUUCCUUCUAUCUUCUAUCGCGGAGCCGCGUUGUCGCGGCGCGACGUAUCGCACUCGCGAACCGAUCCAUGCUAACUGCUAACCGUACGGAGGAAGGAAACGUUAUGAGGAGAGCUCGUGCCGUUCAACGAUUCGAUCGUUCUUUCUUCGAAGAAACGACGCCGAUCGUUCGAAAACCGGCAGCUGUGUGGUCGUCCGAAUAAUGUAGCGGAUAAUGGAGGUGGCCGGAUGACAGAUAACUAGCAUCGUUCACCGCUGAUAACAAACGUCAUCAAAUUGACCGGGAAGCUGAGAACCGAUUCGAUUCGGCUCGACACGACUCGGCUCGACUCGACUCAAUUCUUCGACGCUGGACCCUGCCCUCCGUUCCCCGUACGCGAUGUGUAAUAACAAUGAGGAGAACAAUAAAUCAGCCUCGCGACACAGACCCAUCAAAGUUACGACGAUCGGCGACGGCACCGUUGGCAAAACCUGUAUGCUCAUUACGUAUACCACGAACGAAUUCCCGUCGGAGUACGUGCCUACGGUGUAAGUACUCUAUAUAAUACGGU